UGGGGAAUAUUGCACAAUGGGGGAAACCCUGAUGCAGCGACGCCGCGUGAACGAAGAAGGUAUUCGUAUCGUAAAGUUCUGUCCUAUGGGAAGAUAAUGACAGUACCAUAGAAGAAAGCUCCGGCUAAAUACGUGCCAGCAGCCGCGGUAAUACGUAUGGAGCGAGCGUUGUCCGGAAUUAUUGGGCGUAAAGGGUACGCAGGCGGUUUAAUAAGUCGAAUGUUAAAGAUCGGGGCUCAACCCCGCAAAGCAUUGGAAACUGAUAAAAUUGAGUAGUGGAGAGGAAAGUGGAAUUCCUAGUGUAGUGGUGAAAUACGUAGAUAUUAGGAGGAAUACCAGUAGCGAAGGCGACUUUCUGGACACAAACUGACGCUGAGGUACGAAAGCGUGGGGAGCAAACAGG
rnacentral:rRNA from 1 species